GGGUCAGCAGGUUGGUCGUGCCAAUGGUAUGCACUGGCCUUGCUGAUUCCUCCUUCUUGAUGAGCCGUAAUGUCAUUAAUUGGGAAUCAGGACUGUUACUUUGAAAAAUUAGAGUGUUUAAAGCAGGCAAGCGCUUGAAUACAUUAGCAUGGAAUAAUGAAAUAGGACGUUUGAUCCUAUUUUGUUGGUUUCUAGGAUUGACGUAAUGAUUAAUAGGGAU
rnacentral:rRNA from 1 species